UACAAAGAUUUGAUUGCAUUAUGAAAGGAACAGAGGAAGCUUUCGUUCACGAACCCUUCGUUCCUCAAGAAAGCAGGGACCCUUUCCGUCCUGGGACCAGGGAAAGCGGUCACUCUCGACGCACUGACUGUUUUGGGCUUUCACGCCCCACGCGUGCAUAGCGCUUCCGCAGGAGGUGCGCGGGUCGGUGGCCGCUGGGAUGCUCGCGCACUUGCUCUCCGUGCAGGCCACUUCCGCUUCCCUGCAAGCUCCGGGGUCAGCCGGGUCCCCCAGGCACGCCCCGCACGACGCCCACGGCGCGGCCAGGGCUGGGGCCAGGUCCCGGACCUCCGCGAGCGGGGACUGCCGCCAUGGCACGAUGCGGGGUCGUCUUCCUCUCCGCCGCCCGCGCCGCCGCGGCCGGAAGACUCCCGGGCGGCGAGGACGGAGCGCGCGGCCCCCGCCCCCGCCCCGGAACCACGUCCCGGCCCCCGGCCGCCGCGGGACGCCGCCGUCUCUCACCUAGACCGCCAUCCGCCGGGGACGCGGCGCCCCGUCUCCCGGGCGACUCGCGGCGCGUAGGUCUGACGUCAGAGCGCGGCGACGUCAGGCCCCCGCCCCCGCCGCCCCGAUGCGGAUGCGGAAGCGCAGCGCUGCGUCAGCGAGGGUCGCGGGAGAGCGGCCGGGCGCUGGGGCUGACCCGGCUCGUCUAGGUCCCGCCCCGCGCGCUCACGUGGCAGCGCGCCGGGCUCUGCGCUGAGCCGGGCCGCGGAGGCCCUGGGGUCACGGUGGCCACGGGGUCACGGCCAUCGCUGGCCGCCGUGCCGCGGCGGAGGACGUGGGCGCGGCGUUCGCCCGGGACCUGACCUCCCGCUCGGUGCGGCAAGCGUGCAGAGACGCCGGGUCCCCUGGUUCUGUACCGAAGGCUGCCCCCGCCGCACGUGACCGGCGCCCCUCUUCGCACCUGCGUUUGUCAAACAGCAUUGCUCUGCUGAGUCUCAUGACAGCAGCCUUGGGUAUCAGGAGAAGCCAGGACUGAAGGAGAGGUGAGCCUCGUCAACUUCCAAGGCAUCUACUCUUGCAGAGGUCAUAAAUUCCCGUGGUUCAAAAUUCAUCGGGUGUGUGGUGAAGAUUCCAAUUCAGCUCCCCCAACAUCCAGGCUCCCUCCCUGCAGGCUGGAGCAGUUCCUACUGUGUUGCAAGGAGUCCUGGGAGCUUGCAAAGGUGCCUGGGGAGAGACUCUCAGCGGGAAGGAGAGAAACCAUGCAGGUGGGGUUUGGGCCCCCAGACCACUGCAGAAUGGACUACGAGAAGUUUGAGUUUAUAAUAAACG